AUCCCAGUGACUUGCCUCCAGGGUUUUGUUCUCCGUAAAUGCCUGAAUCCGUUCGAAACCGCCACUCCAAGUUCCCGUCACUUGUUCGCGCCAUGUAGGAGGAUAGACCUCCGAAGACCUCGAGGGAGAUGGAGAGAAAGGGGAAGGGAGGCGGCGGCGGCACCGACGAGGUGUUUCGAGUGCGGGACACCGGGACAAUGGUCUCGCGACUGCCCUUCCUCCUCGGGUAACGCUAACCCUAGCUCUCCUCGUCUGGAGAAGCCAUCGGCCGCUGCUACGACCUCCACCAAAAGGGCCAUGAAAUAAAGCUCCUGGACCAUGCCGAUACUUGCAGCAGGAAUCACAUCAUACCACAAAAAUCCUGGCUGUCUGAAAUAAACCAUCUGCCUGGAUGAACAGAGGAGUCAGCUCAGAAGAGGGAAGAGCACAAACAGAAGUUAACCGCUUGAAAGCAUUAGAAAGGGAUCAUUCCAGUUUAUCUGAAGCUUUCUUCUCUUCAGAUCCACCCUGAUCAUUGCAGCCCGGCAUGCAUGUACUUUACAUUGUUAUAUGGUCCAGACUUCAGGAUGUUUCUGUCAGUUAACGUUCAUGGAAAGUAGAUGCUCAUUCAUUGUUGUUCCAUCUCUCAUCUAUAUGUACAAACCUCUUUUUCUUUCCAGCAUGCAACAUCCUUUGAGGAUUAAUUUUGCUUA